rnacentral:tRNA from 4 species
GCCCAGGUGGCGGAAUGGUAGACGCAAGGGACUUAAAAUCCCUCGGUCGCAAGACCGUGCUGGUUCAAGUCCAGUCUUGGGCACCA